UACAGAGGGUGCGAGCGUUGUUCGGAAUUAUUGGGCGUAAAGGGCGCGUAGGCGGUGCGGUAAGUCACCUGUGAAAUCUCCUGGCUCAACUGGGAGCUUGCAGGCGAAACUGCCGUGCCGGAGUGUGGGAGAGGUGCGUGGAAUUCCCGGUGUAGCGGUGAAAUGCGUAGAUAUCGGGAAGAACACCCGUGGCGAAGGCGGCUCUCUGGGACGGUACUGACGCUGAGACGCGAAAGCGUGGGGAGCGAACAGG
rnacentral:rRNA from 1 species